rnacentral:rRNA from 1 species
GGCGAACGCUGGCGGCGUGCUUAACACAUGCAAGUCGAACGGUAAGGCCCUUCGGGGUACACGAGUGGCGAACGGGUGAGUAACACGUGGGUGAUCUGCCCUGCACUUCGGGAUAAGCCUGGGAAACUGGGUCUAAUACCGGAUAGGACCACUGCCUGCAUGGGUGGUGGCGGAAAGCUUUUGCGGUGUGGGAUGGGCCCGCGGCCUAUCAGCUUGUUGGUGGGGUGAUGGCCUUCCAAGGCGACGACGGGUAGCCGGCCUGAGAGGGUGACCGGCCACACUGGGACUGAGAUACGGCCCAGACUCCUACGGGAGGCAGCAGUGGGGAAUAUUGCACAAUGGGCGCAAGCCUGAUGCAGCGACGCCGCGUGAGGGAUGACGGCCUUCGGGUUGUAAACCUCUUUCAGCACCGACGAAGCGCAAGUGACGGUAGGUGCAGAAGAAGGACCGGCCAACUACGUGCCAGCAGCCGCCGUAA